rnacentral:rRNA from 1 species
AGUGAACGCUGGCGGUAGGCCUAACACAUGCAAGUCGAACGGCAGCACAGUAAGAGCUUGCUCUUACGGGUGGCGAGUGGCGGACGGGUGAGGAAUACAUCGGAAUCUACUUUUUCGUGGGGGAUAACGUAGGGAAACUUACGCUAAUACCGCAUACGACCUACGGGUGAAAGCAGGGGAUCUUCGGACCUUGCGCGAUUGAAUGAGCCGAUGUCGGAUUAGCUAGUUGGCGGGGUAAAGGCCCACCAAGGCGACGAUCCGUAGCUGGUCUGAGAGGAUGAUCAGCCACACUGGAACUGAGACACGGUCCAGACUCCUACGGGAGGCAGCAGUGGGGAAUAUUGGGCAAUGGGCGCAAGCCUGAUCCAGCCAUGCCGCGUGGGUGAAGAAGGCCUUCGGGUUGUAAAGCCCUUUUGUUGGGAAAGAAAAGCAGCAUAAUAAUACCCCGCUGUUCUGACGGUACCCAAAGAAUAAGCACCGGCUAACUUCGUG